CAUCCUUUGACAUCAGCACAGCCUCGAAAGGGGGAUGGGAGAGCAGGCAGAAAGCAGAAAAACCAGCUUUGAACUGUGCGUGCAAGGCCUCCGGCGCCUCAGGCCCCGUAAGGAUCCCAGCUUUCAGGGGACGGCACCUGGGGCCACAACCCUCCUCAGAGAGUGAACAAAUGACUCAGAGCAACUGGAAAAAAGCAGGGGCUUAGAAGAGGAGGAAGUCUAUCACUCCUACAGCUAGAAAAGGAGAGAAGCACCUGAUGGACACUGCUCAGGUCAGAAACCAGCUACUUUGUAUGUUUCAUAAAAAUCAAAAUUUUGUUUUUUGUUUUUCUUUUUUGAAACAGAGUUUUUCUGUGUAGCCUUGGCUGUCCUAGAACUCACUCUGUAGCCAGGCUGGCUUUGAAUUCAGAGAUCCACCUGUCUCUGCCUCCUGCCACCCAGGCUCAAAAGAAUCAAUUAAAAAAAAAACUGAAAUAAUCCCAAACUUCUGCAUAUUCCCCCAACCAAAGAAAAUUAAUAAAAGAUUAAUAAAAUGUAUUAGAAAAACAGUAAGCCUUUAGGAUUUAUCUAGCUCAUGUAAAAAGAACUAUGAAUGGUCAGCAAAGCAUUUUUAUCUAUUGUCAACAAUAACUUUAUAUAUAUUUAUCUGUGCUUAUGUAGUCCAGACAUGGCAAGGCACAAAUGGGGGGUCAGAGGAAAACUAAGAGUCAGUUCUCUCUUCCCACCAGGUGGGUCCCAGGAGACAGAACCCAGCCAUGGCAGCAGCACCUGCCCAACUCUAAUGAUACAAAGGAUAGUAACUACACAUGAUUUGGUGCUUUGACCAGAGCUACAGACUGCUCACCACCUUAGAAAAUAUUCUACCAACAGGCACCAAGAGGCUUUCCUUAGUCAUUUUACUUUAAGAAUCCAUUCUAAGACGGCAUGGUGGCACAGAGGCAGCUAGAUGGCUAUGAGUUUAAGGUCAGCCUGGUCUACAAAGAGGGUCCAAGACAACCAAGGCUACACAGAGAAACCCUGUCUUGAAAAACUAAAACUAAUAAAAUAACUAUGAAUGAAACGGUUCACUCAGAACAUAUUUUUAAAUUGUGCUGAAUGUGCCGAAAUACGACGCUAACAUCACAUUUAUUAUUUAUUACACUAACCUGGGUGUGUAUGCCCUCACAUGCCAUGGCAUGAGCCAGACCUUUCCUUCUACUAGGUAGGUCUCCCCAGGACAGAUCUCGAUUGCCAGUCUCGGCAGCAAGUUACCUUUACCUGUUGAGCUCCCGUGCCAGCCCUGUCUUAACCAUUUUCAAGUGUAUGGUUCAGUGUUCUGGACUGAAUGUGCACCCUGAUGUGGAACUGCAGUAAUUCCAUUCUACAUUUGACUAAGUGUCUCCACACUGUUUUACAGGGCUUGUACCAUUUGCUGUUCUCUGCACUGUCAGCAACACUUUCUGUGUGUGUGAUCUCAGGGUAACUUUCACUUGCAUCACUAAUCAUUAGUGAUGCUGAGCUUGUACACAUGGGCCUACGUACCUGUGUAUUCUUUGAGAAAUGUCAACUUGAGUCUAUAUAUCUAUAUAUUAAAUGCAGCUGUUUUGUCGUUGCUCGUGUGUAGGAAGUCUUCCUAUUGCCUAGAUAUUAAUCUGUUAUCGGACAUGUGGUCUGCAAAUAUUUCCCGCUACUCUGUAGACUGUCCAUUUACUGGGUACCCUUGCACAUACUGAGGUUUUCAAUUUUUAUACAGUCCAGUUUACUUGGUUUUAUUACCCAUACUUUUAAACAUUAUGUCCAAAAAAUCAUUGCUAGGUCUAAUAUCAUGAACAUCCCAUCCCCAAUUCCUUCCAAGCAUUUUUAACUUUUAGUUCAUAGCACCUAGGACUUUGACCCAUUCUGAGUGAAUUUCUGAAUGUGUGUGAGAUAAGGAUCCAAUUUCACUCUUGCCUGUGGACUUCCAGUUUCCAGUACUUUCUCCUUUGAGCUGGAUUUGCUCCUGGAUUUCCUUUCUAUCUAGUGGCCUUGGAGUCGCUAUGGAAACCACACCAUCUUAAUUACUGUAACUCUGUGGUUUUUAAAUCAAGAUGUGUGAGCGCUACAGCCAUUUUCUUCUUUUCCAAGAUUUUGGAUCUCUUGAUCUUCCCAAUGGAUUUUAAGAUGAAAUGUUCUAUUUCUAGAUAAAACAUUCAUAUUUUGCUAGGCAUGGCCUGUGUCUGUUGGUCACUAGUCUGGCACUGAUCCCUUAAUCACCUUAGUCUUCCAAUCCAUGGCUGCCCCUCCCUCUGGUGCUACCUGCUAUUGCUUUUAUCAGUGUCUGAGUCUUCCGUAAGGAGUUUCUCAACUCCUUAAGUUUAUUCUCAAGAAGUUUAUU